CUACGGGUCGCACCAGUCGAGAAUCUUCCGCAAUGCGCGAAAGCGUGACGGAGCAAUGCCGCGUGCAGGAUGAAGGCCCUAGGGUUGUAAACUGCUGUCACCGGGGACGAAAAAUGACGGUACCCGGAGAGGAAGCCACGGCUAACUACGUGCCAGCAGCCGCGGUAAUACGUAGGUGGCGAGCGUUGUUCGGAUUUAUUGGGCGUAAAGGGUCCGCAGGGGGUUUGCUAAGUCUGAUGUGAAAUCCUAUGGCUCAACCAUAGAACUGCAUUGGAGACUGGUGAACUAGAGUAUCGGGAGGAGAGCGGAAUUCCUGGUGUAGCGGUGGAAUGCGUAGAUAUCAGGAAGAACACCGAAAGCGAAGGCAGCUCUCUGGACGAUUACUGACCCUCAGGGACGAAAGCAUGGGGAGCAAACAGGAUUAGACACCCGAGUAGUC
rnacentral:rRNA from 1 species